UUUUGGUGCUAAGACAUUAUUCCUAAUAAAAGGUGAAUGUGCUUUUAGAAUUGCCUGUAACUUCCAUUCAACUUGCCAAUCUGCAGCAGGAAGCAGGACAAAUAUGUUAAUUUUAUGAAGUAAUUUUAUGUAUCGUCUUGUUCUGUGUUUUUGUUUUUAGGACCGGAGUAGGCCCUAUGACACUUUUAACUUGCACUCCUUGGAGAACUCCUUAAUGGAUAUGAUAAGGACUGACCAUGAGCCUCUGAAAGGUAAACACUACCCUCCCAGUGGCCCACCAAUGAGUUUCGCUGAUAUAAUGUGGAGGAAUCAUUUUGCAGGUUAGGAAUAUUCAUAUGUCCAUUCUUGCUUGGUGUUUUAAGCAAAAAUCAGCUUUUUAAUAAUUGUGAUUUUUUUUGUUUUGAUUUGAUUUGAUUUGUUUGUUUGUUUGUUUGUUUUGCUUCUGUAAAGCAUUGUGGAAUGUAUUUAAAGUUGUUUUUUUUUUUUUUAACCUGGGUUCAGCUACCUAUGGUAAUCAUGGUUGGUUACCUUAAUUUGUUUAUCUGCCAGAAGUCUCUGUUGGGUAGCUGAGGUCAUGGUUAUAAGCAUGAAACCAGAAGCCAAAUUUUCUGGGCUUUGUACAUUUGGAAUCUUUCACGGAAUCUGCAGAAUUUAUUUAAGUACAGGUGUACCUCAAGAAAGUGUGAUGUUUAGUAAAUCUGUCUCUAAAACUCCUUCAGAAAGUUUCUCAUCAUACGCUUCCAUUGUGUUAUAGUCUAUCCCUUCCUAGUAUAGGAGCAUCAGAUCACAGCUUAUGCGCAACCAGUGGCCCUUUGCCAAGUGGGGGCUAAAGUACAAGGAAGAUGUCUUAAAGUAUAUGCAUGAUUUGAGAUCAGUAUGAUGCAGAAUGUACCAGGAUCAACAUUAGUAAAACUUCCUAAUUUUAGAGUCCAUGCAAACUCAUAAAUUACAAAUAGUUCUUUUUAUAGAUUAUUUAACAUUUUAGAGAUCCUACAAUAUCUUAAAUGCUGUAAUGCAAGUUCCUGAUGUGGAAAUAUCCACUCCAUUUUGAGUUAGGACUUGAAUUAAAAACUGAACAGUUUGCCACAGGGAUGCCCAUCUUGUGUGAACUCUUCCUCUUGUGGAACUGUGAGGAUCUUCUCCUCUCUGGCAGCCUAGGCCAUUAUCAAGGACAUGGCCAAGGUGUCCUCACCAGAAAUCCUUUUCAUAAUUGGCUGCUCCUGCUUUUCUUAGUCCCCAGUGAAGAGAAGUAGUCCUAGGAGGCCGCGAGAACGUAGAACGACUUGGGAAAGGCCUUAUGCAAAGAAGAGAAACAUUGCUGUUAAAUUUAGUCACUUACCACAUCUUUCCCCAGUUAAAGAUUAGGUCCAUGAUAAUUUGAAGCAUGUUACACUUAGAGGUGUGAAUGAUGUAAAAAUAAUAAUAUUCACAGAUGGUUUGAUUUUUUUAGACUCAUUUCAGGCUACACUUGUCAUUUGUCGCUGCCCUGAGAGCCUCCCUGAUUAUCCCCACAUUAAUUCCUCUUCUGUGUACCCUCCUGGCUUCCGGUCCCUUUUCUGGUCUGUCUUCUCUGCUCUGCUUAUUUCUUUUCUUUGAGUCUGGGUCUUACUAUGGAGUUCAGGCUAUCCUGGAACAGACUGAUCUUGGAACUCAGGACAACCCUCUUGUCCCAUCUUCCUGAGUGCUAGGUAAACAACUAGGAGAGGCAUUCAGAUUAUGGUCACUACAUAAUUUUUUAGAGUCUUAUGUAUGCUUGUAAAACAGGAGCUACUUGUGCCUCCUUGUGUACAGCGCUGGCAUAGUGACAGAGGGUAGGAACUUAUCACAGAGUAAUGGAAAUGCCUUUUCCAUUCACAUUACAGCCCCACUAUCUCUGCAGCCUUUUCUUUACGAGCAAAUAUGAGAUAAUAGACUGCUUCACCAUACAUGAUUUAUGGCCCCACGAGUUGGGAGACCUUGAGUAUGUACUUUAUAGUUGAAUAUGGUUUCAACUUCCCAAUUUUUCAUAUUCUACUGCAUGGUUUUCUAUAAACAGACUACUUCCCUGAGGUCAGUGACAUCACUAUGUCCCUGUGGUCAGUGACAUCACUUGCACCUUUAAGAAAAUAUUUUGACACUGGGCAUGGUGGUGCACAUCAUAAUCUCAGCACUUGGGAAGCAGAGGCAGGAGGAUGAUACAAGCUCAAGGCCAGCCUGGGUUUAUACAUAACAAGUUCUAGGCACCUCAGAGCUCUGUAAUGAGACUUGUCUCAAAAAACCACAAAGAACAACAAAGAAGGAGGAGGAGAAAAGAAAAUGCUUAAGGUACUUUUAAUUUUAAAGGGAAAGAAAAUUGUCAGAAUAGGAAGGUAAUAAUUAAUACAUAAACAGAAUAAAAAGCCGGCUGGAGCGAGAGCGCAGUCUUAGUACUUGUCUUGUACCAUGGUGGCCUGAUCUCAGUCUCCAGAAGCUAGUAAAAGAGCUGGGUGUGCUAGCCUGUGCUCACAGUCCUGGCACUGGGAAGAGAGGCAGAUCCCUGACACGCACUGGUCCAUGGGCCUGGCCUGCCUGGUGAGCUUAAGGCCACCAGAGACCCAUCUCAAAAACAAGUAAAAAACCAAAACCUCACCAAAAGCAUGUGGAUAGUACCUAAGGAAGGAGACCCGAGGUUGUCCUCUUGUUGGAUCUCCACAAUAGUGAAUCCUCAUGUUUGUGUACACACAUGUAUUUGCACACAUGAACAUGCAUAUACACAUAAGUAACUAAAAGCACAAGAAACAUUGGUGUAGUCAUAGGUUUUUAUUCUAUUUCUAUUUUCCAUGGUAGUAAAUACCCAUGUUUCUCUCUGGGUUUUAUAAUUUAUUGAUAGAACUUAAGAUUAGACUUUCCAGUUUUGCUCUACCCUAGGUAAUACUGCUGUGAAUAAGUUGCUUGAGGGACAUUCAUACUGACAGUCCAUGGGUCCAAAGAGCAUCAGGAGAUAGAUGACCUGUUGGGUGCCUACUGUGUGGCUUCUAGGAAAUGCUUUGCCUGUGCCUCCUUAGAUUCCUGGUCUUGAUCUUUUCCCUCUUGAAUGUGGGAACAUUAUUUGCAGAUAUCUGUGUCGGGAAGAGUUCUCAAAACUCAAGCAGAGUUGGGUUUUGGGGUGCUUAUUUACACUGGUGUUAUUUGUCUUAAAACUCAGUUUUCUUUUCUUCUAUAGGGAAAAAAAACCCACAUUCUUGCUUAACUCUAUAAAAAAAAAUCAAACAACGCAUAGUAG
rnacentral:lncRNA from 1 species